rnacentral:rRNA from 1 species
GAUGGACGCUGGCGGCGUGCCUAAUACAUGCAAGUCGAGCGAACAGACGAGGAGCUUGCUCCUCUGACGUUAGCGGCGGACGGGUGAGUAACACGUGGAUAACCUACCUAUAAGACUGGGAUAACUUCGGGAAACCGGAGCUAAUACCGGAUAAUAUAUUGAACCGCAUGGUUCAAUAGUGAAAGACGGUUUUGCUGUCACUUAUAGAUGGAUCCGCGCCGCAUUAGCUAGUUGGUAAGGUAACGGCUUACCAAGGCAACGAUGCGUAGCCGACCUGAGAGGGUGAUCGGCCACACUGGAACUGAGACACGGUCCAGACUCCUACGGGAGGCAGCAGUAGGGAAUCUUCCGCAAUGGGCGAAAGCCUGACGGAGCAACGCCGCGUGAGUGAUGAAGGUCUUCGGAUCGUAAAACUCUGUUAUUAGGGAAGAACAAAUGUGUAAGUAACUAUGCACGUCUUGACGGUACCUAAUCGGAAAGCCACGGCUAACUACGU